CAACUUUUGCCACCCUUUUAAAAGUAAUCAAAGUAUAUACAUGAUCAAAUUAUAUACGUUUGGCAUUCCUUGCCAGUGCUUGAAUAGGAGAUGCUCUUAUGAUAUUUCCAUUAUACAAAAGUUUUCCCAUUUUGAUUGAUGCGUAAAAAAAACGCAAGCGCAACAGCUCUGAGGAUUGAAAUUCUUUGAAAAGAUAUCAGCAGUAUUAAUUAGUAACUUAUGUACUACUUUAGUAACUUAUGUACUACUACAUAAUUCUUCUUUUUUUCCUUAUCAGUCCCAAUUGGGAAGUGAUUCCGAUUUAGGUAAACACAAAUACAAUCUACAAAGAUACCGCCAUUCUGUGACUUCUGAGUUCUAACUAAUAUUAUCUCACAGUUAUUGUUGUUAAUUUUGACAAAUUCAUAUAAAGAAUUACCCUUGGCGCUGGCCUGUUGUAAGUAGCCUUGAUUACCCCUGCUGUCCUGCACAUUUCUUGUUUUGCCCCAACUCAUUUUCUCUAGUUGAACAAGAACAUCUCUAUAAGCUUCGCUGCAUUAUUGAUGACAGAUACACAGUCAUGAUAUAAGUAUGCCCAAUCAGCAACUUACUUCAAGUAGAUAAUACACAAUUAAUAUUCAAUAGCAUCCAAAUUCUGUAUCUUCAAUUCUGGAUUUGCAAAUCCCAGCAGUUAUGUCAGAUUUUUCAUCUUACUAAAAACUUGUACAGCUGAUGUCCAAAAUACUUUGUGGAGUACUGAUUACUGGAGAUAUUUUUCAGCUUCACAGUCAUUGCGUACUUCACAAACCCACUGCCUUGAAACCUAGGCUCGAUAGCCCAAAUUAGCAUGUCGCAGAUAGAUACUUGGUUCCAUAUCCUUCCUGUUGCUGAUAUAUUUACAUGGAAUUGUGAUGCUAUUCUUUUUGUCUUUUAGAUAGGUUGUAGUUUCAGCUCUGAAAGAUGUUCUCUUCCUAACCCCGACAUUAAUGUUUGGAAGGGCCGUUUAAAGUAUCAACCUGGUCAAGUGAGUGUGAGAGCCCUUGGGAUGCUUGCUGGCGGUUCUGGCAUUACUCCAAUGUUUCAGGCAUGAUUCUCUACUAUAUAUUAAAUAUCUACAAUAAUCAUAAGAUAUCUUCCUAUGUUCAAUUAUUAUUAGCUAAGGUUUAGUAGUAAUGUUAUUGCUUACUUUGAUUUCAUCUUGCAGGUAGCUAGAGCUGUAUUAGAAAACCUAAACGAUACCACUAAGGUGCAUCUCAUUUAUGCCAAUGUUUGUUUAGAGGACAUGCUUUUGAAGGUAAUUCCUAGUACUCUUUUUAUUUCAGAAGUAUGUUUGUUAGAAAAGAGUAGUUUUAAACUUUAUACGAAGUACAAUUUUAAUUUAAUAUUGAGUGAGUUUGACUGAGGUACAGAGGUCACGUGCACAGAAGGUGAUAAAAACUGGUAUAUAGGUUUUGAAUUUUCUCCCUCCCUGCCUCCUGGUGCAAAGUUGUUUCACUGCACUGAUGGGGUGCCCCUCAUCUGAUUAAUGACCGUGUUGAUGAGGCUUUAGUCUGUGGGUGCUUUUAUGAUGUCAAUUAUAAAGUUUUUACUUGGUUAUCAUGAUACUUGACUGGUCGUAGAUAGUCAACGACUUGUCGGUAUAAUCUAUAACAACUAGGGCCAACAACUUGGGUGUUGUCAACUAGGUCAAAAUUUGGGUCACACCUAACCCAUAACAUCACACAACUAGGUCAAAACUCAGGUCACACCAAUCUAUAACGUCAUGCAAGAGAGCAAGGGAAUAGGUCAAAACUCGGGUCACACACUCACAUCCAACCUCUAACGUCACACAUCUAUUUACUAUUCAAAUUAGGUUAUAAAAUUAAUCUGAUUAACUGUUUAGAACAUCACGAUCUCAUGACGUACAGUUUUAAACUAUUCUAUAAGGCUAAAGCGUCAGUGUAAUAUAACACUGACAGAAGUUUUUCACUUACUUCAGUGUCUUGUCCCUUCUGGUAAUGCAUAUGACCGAAGUUUCAUGACGUGUUAUGUACAAUUAUAUAUAUAAUUUAUUAGUUCCGACAUGAAUAUGGACUAGCAGAUAUUAGACGAUGACUAGUUAGCUGGUCGGAUUCUUGUUAACUUGAGUUACUGUCAUAUCAACGUUAUUUCUUACAAUCACGAAACAGUGAUAACUAUCAGCUCAUGUAAAAUGCUUUAAGGGUUAGAUGUUCGAUACAUUCCAAGGUUAUGCAUUAACAACCGGGGCAUUAAAUUUGAGGAUCAGUUAUAUUAAAAUUCAAACAUCAUUUUGGUGUAGAUUUUUGUCAUGAAUGGGGAAACAUAAUUAAUAUCUUUGAUAAUCAUAGUUAGUUGUUUUCCAUGGUAAAUAGUUUAUCUAAAAUACUCAUGACCCUUACAACCUUCCAAGUUAAACUUAAGUAAAAAGACUUACACUCUAGAAGUAAGAAGAUGCAGAGUCAACUUACUGAAUGAAUCAAUUUAUAUAUGUAUUUUUAGGAAGAGAUAGACAGACUUGCUUCAAACUACCCUGACCACUUUAAAGUUUACUCGCACUAAAUCAGGUUUGUUGCUCCUUUAUUUAGCCAUCAUCUCUCUUCUUUUCCAUGGCACUGCGUUGACACUUAAUACUAUCGAGUAAAAUGUAGAAGGCUGAUAAUGAUGUGUACCCCUGCAAAUAUGGGAUGGUGGUGUAGGAUUUGUAACCAGGAAAAGAUCCAAACUCAUAGCCGCCCCUAGCCUGCAUUUGAUAUUCAGGUAGAUUUUGUUCAAUACAACAUAAUAUUGUGAAAAAAUUCCAAAAGUAGCUGAUUCUUUUCUGAGAAAAAUGGCCGAUUUUGAGUUGUGGAUCCCCACUGAUGAAUAAGGCCAUGGAUGCUAACCUUGAAGCCCUGGGAUAUGCACCGGAAACGCAGUUUCAGUUUUGAAAUUGUGAUAAGAACUUGCAUGUGUUCGUCACACAUGCAGUCUUCUGUUGUUUAAUCUUCAAUGUACUUUUUGUUAAACAUUUAGCCAUUAAAAACAUAUAUACUUCAGGUGACUUGACCCUUGUCAGAGAGUAUCUUGCCCAGUAUAACUGCUGUGCAAUUUUAUUUCUAGAUCAACUGAUUUUUUUUAACAAAAUGAGCUUUUUUAUUUCAAGAACAUAAUGAAUUUUUCUACUCUAAAAAAUUACUACCUCUUUUCUGUAACUACUAUAAAACAACCCUUGAAAAAGCAUUUUGGGACUGGAUGUGUGUAUUAGCUACAUUAGCUCAAAGAGGGCAAUGAUUAUUUGUAAAUUUUGUUAAUAUAUAUUACACUAACAGAAGUAAUCUGGGACUAGCAUUACAGUUCAAAUAAUUAAAAAAUUAUCAUUAAUUUGUAUUAUGUACUCAUAUAAAUCCUUUCCUAUUUACAUACUUCGGAUUAUUUUUCAGUUAUUUGAUUUAUGCCAUUUUAGAUAAUUUUUCUUUACCCUUCAUUUAUUUGAUUCUUAUUUUUAUAGAUGGUCCCUAUGCGGUUACUCCUUUAAGAAGAAAAAUACAAAAGCCUGUUUGUACCCUCAUCCUUAGCCAACAUUAGUCUUCGUCAUAUAUAACCUUGGAUUUUCUCUAUACCUUCACAAUUAAACACACACACAAACACACACAAACUAUUUAGGCCUCCUUUGAGAUAUACAAUAAAUUGGUAAUAUCUUGUGUUGAACUAGUGAUAAGAAUGGAGACUAUCAUUGAAGAGUACGAGAACAAUAAUUCACAUUUCUAUGACAGUGAUGACAUCACCACCGACGAAGAAGAAGAAGUGCAGGAGCAAGAUGACGAAGAAAGCGCUGCAGAAGAGUACAACAGCAGCACUGAUAUCUACAGCUGUGGAGGUGGAAACCUGGGAACAAAGAUGUUAGGAUCAUCAUCAAAGAAGUCAUGGUUACAAGAAUGGGACCAUGUGUUUCCUUUAAUAUCAGCUCUAUGUUUGUUCCUUGAUCCUACCUUCUUUUACACACUCUCUCUUAACGAAGAUGGCAUGUGUUUUUUCAUUGAUUCCUGGUUUGCACUCGGCCUCUCGCUUCUCCGAUCAGUUAAUGAUGCCUUGCACAUCUGGAAUAUGUGGCAUCACUACCGCAGAUCAACCCCUGCUGCUGCUGUGCAUGGGGUCCGGAGAAGGUGCGGUGGUAUAGCAUUGCAGAAUUUCAAGGGCAAAAUGGUCUUCUUCCUUAAUGCAUUUGUCCUCUUACCUUUGCCACAGGUCAGAAAUUUUUUUAUGAAAUUACUUUCUAUUGAUCUGAACUCACUUAAUUACUCUUACAAUCCAAAUAUACACAGUGUAAUCUAUUGUAUUAAACAAAAUAAAAUUACAUUGUCGAAGUUUGUUGUACCAGAGUAAAAGAAAAAAUAAAUUGUUGGAUCAGAUUGAAGUAGAUAAUAUCAAAAUUGUACCCUCAUUUGGAGGCAUGCACUUAAAUGAGUUAUGCACUUAAAGGGUUUCCUUCCAAAGAUGACAAACAUAUUCAUGUCACCCUAUUAUGUACUUAUCUCUUCUUUUUUCUUAUUCUUUUUUUUUUCUUUUUUGUUUUUUCUUAUGCUUUGCCUUGGAAAUUCCAAAUAUCUUAUGUGUUCAUUUUAUUUGCACGACAUUUGAAUAUUAUGUGAAUUUAAUUUUCGUGAUGUUAUUAUUGUGUGAAAAUUAAUUAUUACUUGGACGAGUUUGGUAAUCUCUGCAGGUUGUAAUAUUGAUUGUGGUUCCGGCCAUGUUGAAGAAUGGUGAACAAGCAAGAGCGAUGACUGUAAUGCUCAUAAUAUUUCUGUUCCAAUACUUUCCCAAGAUAUACACUACUGUUUGCUUGUUGCGCCGCAUGCUCUUUCAGUACAUUUUUGGAGCAGCUUGGUGGGGGAUAGGCCUAAAUAUCAUUGCAAUUUUAGUAGCUUCACAUGUAAGUACAACACACAUAGAGAUGACUAAAGUUUUGUUUUGGCUAGUGUUUUAGCGGCAUUAAUCAAUUAUUUGUUGUGUGUUUUCUUGAGUUGAGUAAUGAAUUAUGUGCAGGUGGUGGGAGCAUGUUUCUACUUGCUAGGAACACAAAGGUCAGCUAGGUGCUUGAUGGAGCAAUGUAUGAAAACAGAGAGUUGUACAUUUAAAGCACUAUCUUGUGAAAAUCCUUUCUCUUUCGGCGGAGCAUAUAAGGUGACAAACAAUAUUAGAAGGUCAUGGGGAAGUAACAAUGAUGCCAGAUCAUGGUGCCUCCAAAGCAGUGAUAAUAGUCGGUAUGAUUACGGAGCCUUCGAAUGGAUCACUCUACUCGUUUGCAAUAACAGCCGUAUAGAGAAGAUGCUUCUUCCGCUCUUUUGGGGCGUCAUGAUGCUCUGGUAAGUAAACAUCCAUAAUUUUUCUUUAUUGUUAAUUAACUAAGUGUGUACAUCACACUUAGUUUGAUAUGAUGAUGCAGCACAUUUGGGAACCUUGGGAGCACUGAUGACUGGUUAGAGAUUGUGUUCAUGAUGAUUGUGACUGCAUGCGGCCUCGUGUUGGUCACCAUUUUAAUGAGCAACAUUAAGGUAAACAUUUCAUAGAAAAGAUGUAGGUUUGGACACUUACUUUGGCCUUUGAAGAUGUCUUUUAACAUGAUAAGUUCAUUUUUGUACCACAAAUUAUUUAAUUAGUUAUAUUUCCCAUUAAAAGAUUUUAGGAAUGUUUUUAUGGUUUCAUCUAAUCAGAAAAUAAUGUGUUUAUAUUCAGGUUUACUUGAUAGCAACAUCAUCUAAGAAACUUGCAAGGAAAGUAAACGUUAACAAUAUCGAAUGGUGGAUGGAGAGGAGGAACAUGCCACAGGGAUUGCGUCAUAGAGUACGUAAAUAUGAGCAGCACCAUUGGAUUGCAACGCGUGGCAUAGAUGAAGGUGAUGUGAUUCGAAGUCUCCCCGAGGAUCUUAGGAGAGAGAUUAAGUACUAUCUCUGCCUGGAUUUGGUGAGAGAGGUAAAUACCGACCUUACUUGUGAUACCUAUAGAUAUUAUAUAUAAUAUGUGUAUAUAUAUAUACAUACAUAUAUAUAGAGUUAAAAAAGUUUAUCAAUCUGAAACAAAUUAAACCAAAUUAGAUAAAUACACUAUCUCGCACUGUUAGAAGACAGACUAUUAGUGGUAGUAAAAAUUGUUCCACCUUGUCUUAUAAUUUUGAAUAGAUUAAGGUGAUGGUUUUAAGAUUAACAAAAACGUUGUACAUGUAUCAGGUACCUUUGUUCCACCACAUGGAUAGUUUGGUACUGGAGAACAUUUGCGAUAGAGUGAAACCCCUCGUCUUUCCUAAAGGAGAGAUUGUGAGUGAUUAAUUUCCAUUUAAAUUAUAUGGAUCUAAUUUAAGAACAAACACCAUUGAUUUAUACAUAAAUUUUACUUUCAGGUAAUUAAAGAAGGUGAUCCGGUACAUAGAAUGUUAUUCAUCGUAAGAGGCCAUCUUCAAUGCACGCAAGUAGUUAGAGAAGGAGUUAACAGUUGUUGCACCCUAGGCCCAGGAAAUUUUGGCGGGGAUGAGCUAUUGUCUUGGUGCUUAAGGAAGCCAUUUGUAGAAAUUCUCCCACCAUCUUCGUACACGCUUAUAAGUCUUGAAGCAACUGAAGCAUUCGGCCUUGAAGCGGAUGAUGUUAAAUAUGUGACGCAACAUUUUCCCCUGAAUGAAAAGGUGAAAAUGAUUGCUCGAUAUUAUUCCCCUGGUUGGAGGAUCUGGGCUGCUGUUACCAUUCAGCUGGCUUGGCUACGAUACAGGCACCGCUGAACACUUCCAUAUAUCAUGCCUAAAGGGCCACUGUUUCUUUCUGCUUCACUUCGAGAGGAGAGGCUCCGGCUCUUUGCUGCACUGCUGACUUCAUCUAAGCCCCAUCAAGAUAAUAGUGUUCCCUAGAUGAAAUAAUUAGGAACUGAAAACUUCAGACACCUUGUUUCUUUGAUUUUGUAACUUUCUCUCGAAUUAAAUUACAUUUGUAGUUGAAUUUGCAUUUUCGGUUGAUACUAUUUUCCAGUUGCAUGUUAGUUUCAAGUUUUAAAUUAUUUGCUAAAUGCACAUUCACUUAAUUUUAGGUGUUGGGCUCAAGUGUCACUGUUUAGCAGUAAAAGACAUCUAUUGUCACUUUCUGAAAAAUGACCCUAAUUGUCAAUUCAAAACGCAACUUGAUGUUGUGGUUACAAAAACGUAAUCUCAAGUCGUAUUUUCAGUUGAAAACGCAACUUCAAAUCAUGUUUUUAAGCAGAAAAUCAAAGCGCAACUUGAAGUCGUGUUUUAAAGUGAUAGUUAGGGCCAUUUUUCUAGAAAAUGACAUUGAGGCCCAUUUGUCUUAAAAUAGUGACUUUUGGGACCUUUGAUAUUACAGAAUCAGGACCCUGAAUUUCACAUAUUCAUCAAUUUCAAACCAGUUUGACAUAAUAUUUUUAGUUAAUUGCAAAACACAUCUUUUGUUUAGGUCUUUGGGCAAAUUGCAUUGUAUUACCAAUAUUUUAGAUAAUUACAGAAUGUAUCUUUUAACAUAUUUUGAUGCCUCAAGUUGAAUCCUUUUGGUCCAUUUUUGUCUGUAUGACCUAUUAAAUUGGAAAUUAAAAAGGUGAAAUAUACUUAAGAAUUAAUAAAAAUAUAAUUUGUAGGCUCUUGUUUACCCUUAAAUUUGACAUAUUAAUAAGCUAAGAUAAACGCAAAUAAGCCGAACGGGUUCAAUAUGACGCUAAUAUAUACUCCCUCCGUCCAAUUGAGUAGUAUACAUUUGAGGAGUGGCAUCGAAAUUAAGAAAAAGUGUAAUCUAGCGAUGAAAAGUAAGAAAAGUGGGUGAAGUGGUGGGACCCAUUAAUAUUUAAUGUGUAAAAUGAGUGUAGUAUGAGUAAAGUGGUGGGACCUACUAGUAUUUAAUGUAUAAAGUGGGUGUGGUGGAAGAAAGUAGUGGGUGUAGUUGAGUUUUUUUAUUAUAAAAAUUUACUCCCUCCGUUUCAAUUUACAUGUCCACUUCCAAGAAAAUUUUUUGUUUCAAAUUACUUGUCCACUUCAACUUUCAAUGCAAAAUCAUAGUUCCAAAGUCAAUUCUACUCCACAUUUCUCUUAUUUAUAUUUCCUAGACCAAUCUCACUCCACAUACUUUGAUCAUUUAAUGCAAUUAAUUUGUGAACAUCCAUUUUUCUUAAACUGUGUGAUUUCUUUUAAGUGGACAUCUAAUUUGAAACAGAUGGAGUACUAUUUUUGGUAUGUAUACAAUUGAUGGGACGUCGCAAAAAAGAAACUGUAUACAAUCCAAUGGGACGGAGGGAGUAUUAAGAAGGGUUUGUCUAGUGUGUGCUCAUGGGCACGUGCUAAGCACUAAAAUCAAUGAAUUUGGAGGGUUUCGAUUGGUGUGGUUGUUGUAAAUGCAGGGGAUCCACCAUUAUUAAAGAGUGCAAGCCAAUCAAAAGCUUUCAAAUUCAUAGAUUUUCGCACUUACUAUGUGCCCAUGGGCACUCCAUAGAAUAACCGUGUUAAAAAAUGCAUUACGUAAUUAUAUGAAGAUUCUUCAAAUGCAUUUAAGUUAAGUGGGUGUGGUAACAAGAGAGAGACGAAAAAUUAAAGAAGUAAGCUGAAAAAUGAGGGGCAAGUAAAAAGCUUGGCAAAAGGAGAUGGUCCGGAGCAUGGUCCAAUCAUUUAAUUAGAAUAUCCUAGUCCUAGAGAACCAGUGAAAGUGUAUAUAAAAUGAGGGAUGAUCAUCCAUAAAAACUAAUCCUCCUUUUCUAAAAUGUAUUUUCAAGAUAGUCAACUACAUAUUCUGGAAAGGCUACUUCGUAGUUGCAAGGCCUUGAAUCGAAAUAGGAUGAGUUCGCAGUAAAAUUGGAUGCAAUCCCUAAAGAUAAGCUGCUGAAAUAGAUCAAUAUGUGGACAACAUGUGAAGAUUUGAUCAAUAAUGAGGUUGUAGCCACUAUACUAAACCUGUAAUGAGUACUAGAGGUUUCCUAGAAAGAUUUACGAGAUCAAUCAUGAAGCCCAUGUUUAUCCUAGCGAUAUCUCAAAACUACUUGCUUCUCAAAUUAUAAAGACUCAAAUCAAGGUUAUUGAAGAAAGAAGAUGGACAGUGUUUGCAAACAUGGUAAGAGGUGAGAUUUUUGAAGUAUGCAUGAAAAUUAUUCAGAAAAAGAAGUAUAAUGUUGCAAAUACUCUAUUUCUUAAGUUGGAUUCUAAAGCCUCUCUCCUAAUUGAUUCUCUAAAACCACUCCUAAAGAUUAUGAUUGACUAAAUGUUGCCAGAAGUUUAGAGUUGUGGCCAAAGUUUACAUUGAUUUUCAAAACGUUGGCUAGAGUUCCAAAUUCUCAAAAAGAUGGCCAAACUUUGGCUUCGCUUUUUAAAACUGUGGCUCCUCUUAAAUGUCACUAACGGAAGCCUAACGGGAGCCACAUUUUUGAAAAGCGGACCAAAGUUUGGCCACUUUUCUGAGAAUUUGAAACUCAUUUUUACCCUUUUGUUCAUUCCAAAUUCUCAAAAAAGUGGCCAAAUUUUGGUCCGCUUUUCAAAAAUGUGGCUCCCGUUAGGCUCCCAUUAAUACAUUUAACAGAAGCCACACUUUUAAAAAUCGGAGCCAAAGUUUGGCCAUCUUUUUGAGAAUUUGAAACUCUGGCCAACUUUUUAAAAAUCGGUGUAAACUUUGGCCACAACUUUGAAGUUCACUCAUUGAUAUAUAAUGGUUCUGCUCAGACCUAUAUUUUGGGUCUAAAAUCUGAUGGAUAACUUUCAAAUCAAAUUCGUAUUGAUUAAGAGCCAAAGAUCAUCCCAGCAGGAUAGCUAAAAGCAAUCAUGGCCCUGGUCACCUGUAUUUGACAAUGACGAAAUGUCAUUAUCCAUGUAAAUAUGAAUUAUCAAGCCCUAUCUCCAGCCGCACGGAUUAUAUUAUGAUCAACUUAAUUUUUUUCUGAGUCUCUUACAUGAAUAAUUUGAAUCUUGAAAUAAAAAGUGAACGUUUUGAUUGUACAUUAAUUACCUGAUAGGCUGAUAAUUAUUAGGAUAUACAACAGCUAACUUGUACGCAUAUAUUUGAAAUUUGUAGUUCAGUGUGAUCUCAAUUGGAACUCUUGUGUGGUUAGUUAAUAGUGCGUUAAGCAGUAAUUUAAUGGCGAUAGACAUUAAUCAAUGACAGUUGCGAGUUUUAAUCUAGAGUUUUAGUGAUCUCUUUAUUAUACUUAAGACUUAAUGACCUUUGAACCCCAAGUUUUACAUCAAUAUACCCAGAUGUCCUUGUGUUUCAAAGUCAUUCAUUUUUGCCCCUGAAGUUGCAGGUGGGUAUAUUAGUGCAAACCUUGAGUUUCAGAAGGCCAUUAAGCCUUUACUUAACGGUGACAAUCUUUAAAAAUGGUGCAAGAAUUGUACUUGGGAAAUAUAUGAUACGCUUUGUUUUUAAUUUGAAAAUAGGAGGACCGGUUAAGUGUCGAUGAAGCUUUACGGCGUCCUUAUUUUACACAAAAUGCACAAGGUCCUAAACAUGGACCGAUAUAGAUUGAAUUGGCAUCGCUGCAUAAGAAGUUCCGUAUACAUAGAGGUACUUUGUUUAUCUGGAGCUGUGCUAGCUGAAACUUAGUUGUAAGCAAAUUGCAUUUUUUUUGUUAUCAUAUUUUAUCUGUCUUCUGUAAGAGAACUGCACAAACUAUUUCAACCUGUUGAUAUUGGGAUGUCUUCUAGUUGAUUGAGUUAGAGAACUGAACUGUACUGAAGUUGCGAGUUGAAUGAAUUACUACAGCCCAACCUGCACUUGUUCUACAAACAUCUGGUUUAGUGUAUAUACAUCAUUUGAUUAUUUAGAACACAGUUGCAUGACUAGUUGAAACUUAUAGCAUAAACCCAACAGUUGUAGAUUUGUUCAAUAAUAGUUGAAAGCAUAAAAAAGAAGAUAAAAACGGUAUCUUUACUUGUAAAUUGAUGUUCAAAAAUUGUUGAUAGCAUAAAAUAGUUUUUAAGUAGAACAAGAUGACAGUCGUUGAGGCAGAUAAGGGAUAAAUUAUAAUUAUCUACAAGUAAUUCAAUCAUAUCUUAUGAUCCGCAAGUGUAAAUGUCAUUAAAAACGUUACAUAAUCUCUGCAGCCACUGCCCCAUUCUUGUUUGCCAACAACCAUACAAACAUAAUAGCUCUGCUUACAUUAUUGGCAUGUGAGAUGAAUGAAACUGAGAAAUUAAUUGUGAUAUAAUUCUAUACAAUUCUGUAAAAGAAGGGUUGAUGUCCAUUUGCAACAUUACACCUAAUUGAAAACAAAAAAGAUAACAUAGGAGCAUUAGAGCAACUGUUGAAAUGCGUCUGACGUGUGAGGCAAAAAAAUUGUGCAUGCAGUGUCUUAAAGAGUAAGCAGGAGAAAGAAACUUUUGAUGCUAACGUACACUACUAGAAAAGCGGGCAUUUCCGACCAAAAUUUCCGACCGACCAAAGUGGUCGGAAAAAAAGCGGUCAUUUUCGACCGACUUACCGACCAAACGCGAUCGGUCGAAAAAAAGGCGUCAUUUACGACCGCCAUUACCGACCGCGCCAAAUCAGUCGGUUAUAAUGGGCGUGGGUCCCGCUCACCAACGUUCUUCAGCUGACAUGGACGCCACAUCGGUAAAACCGACCAACCCAUUUCCGACUGCCUGUGGUCAUUUCCGACCACCUUGACUGGUUUAAAAUAAUUGGUAACAUUUUAACUAGUUGUCGACCUGUGAUUGGCUGAGUGGAGACGAGGUGGAGCCCAGAUUAUUUCCGACCGAUUUUGACGGUCGGAAAUGGCCUGCUUUGUUUCCGACCGAAUUGAAACCCGGGCGGUCGGUUUUGACUUCUUAAAAAAACAAUAAUUUCCAUUAGACUAAGUAAACUAUUUAAAAAAAACUAAAAACAUAGUACAUCCGGAAAACCGACCACAUUCAAUAUAUUUCCUACCAAACUCAUAAUUUUAACACAGAAAACCGACCACAUGCAACACAUUUCCGACCAAACUCAUAAUUUUAACACAGAAAACCGACCAAAUUUAACUCAUUUCCGACCACAAACUCAAGUGCAGAAAGCCGACCAUUUCGUUCUGUCAUUUCUGACCGAUUUAAAACCCUGGCGGUCGGUUUUGACUUGUGAGAAAAACAAAAAAAAUUAUUCGGCCAGGUAAACUUCUAAAAAAAAAUUUUUAAAAAUUGAAACUAGCUUUUAGUAAAUUAAUAAAUUAAUAAAAAAUUAUUCAUCACUUAAAAUUUAAUUUUUAAUUUUUUUUGUUUCCAUAACAAAGUAUAAAUACUAACUAACUGAUUUCAAAUUAAUUAUUCAAACAACAGAAAAGUGUAGAAUCUUUGUGAUAUGGUCUAAUUUAAGGUACUAAUCAUGAUAGCAAAAGAAGAAAAAUAUAAAAAAAUUAUAAAGACACUAUUAUGUUACGAAUCAUGCAUUGCAGUGACACUACGUAGUGUUUUGAUUUAAAUGCUAUCACAAGUCUACUGCACAUCCAGACAUCAGAAUAAGCCUUUAAUUAGAGAUCAGAACUUGAUAAGAUUAUAGAUUAAACAAGAAGCAAUUCUGACUUUGGCCAAGUAAAUAAGUGCUAGCUCACAGUGGCAGAGCCAGACCAAUUCUAGGGUACAAAAAAUGUAGUUGUACGUGCAAAUAGAGCUGUUCGUGAACAAGCUCGAGCUCGACUCGAUAAAAACUCGGUUCGGCUCGGUUUGUUAAGAACUCGAGCUCGAGCUCGAACACAUAAAUGUGUUCGUUAAGAAAAUGAGCUCGAGCCGAGCUUUUAGUGUGUUCGGUUCGAGCUCGGCUCGUUAAAACUCGAAAAAAUACAAUAUUUUCAGGAUAAUUUCAUAAUAUAUACAUGUUACUGAAUGUCGAAUUCAACAUACAAUAUAUCAAAUUGAUGAGGAUAAUAUUAACUAUAAUAUGGCUCUGUUCGUAAACACUCCUACGUGCAAACAGUAUUUAUUGUCGAUGGGUAGAUUUGAUUCCAUGUCCUUCAUUCAAAAUAUUUAUACCUUGAAAAACUUCGCAAAUUGUUACUGCAAGAUUUAAAUAUAUACCAAGUACAUGACAAUACCCUAUAGUUCUAACAUCCACCAGCCAGGAUAAUUGUAUUUUAUGAUACAAUUAUACGUACAGUUAUCAUAUCUAAAAGUUCAGAAUGGUCCGUGGGUAUCCCAUGUACUACAUGGCUUGGCCCCUGAGCGUUUUUACAAUCAUUUCAAUGUAAAUUUGCUUGUUUAUCCCACCUCUCAUGAAACAUGAUUAUUAGCUCAAGUGUUCAGCAUGCUCAUGAAGCUGUCUAUAAUUAGCGAAGGAAAUGAAACAUAUUUUGAGAAGCAAAUUCAUGUCUAAGAGAAUUUAUGUAAUAGUGAAUAACUUAUUAAUAGGUUAUAUAUGUAGGAAUCCAGAAGAGUUGUCUUUAUAUACAGAUAUGAUCAGUGGCGGGUGUACUGGUGCUAAAGGUAGGGCAAGUGACCUACCAUUAUUUUUUUUUUCCAAUUUUUUUUUACAUUCAUAUGCCAUAUGCUUACUGAAGUAUAUAUAAUAUAUCCGGUAUGUUACCACCUCUGUCAAACUUCUCCAUUGAUUGAUGUUUUUCACUCUAAAACUUCAAGUUCUUGAUAUGAUUCAUCUCUAAAAUUCUCCUCUAUGAUACUCAUAGUUUUAGAUUGUUUAGAAAUCGUAAUUUGAAAAAGAAAAAUUAGAGACUACAAGGUGUUCGAUAAAAUGUCACGCUGAAUUUUCUCUGCAUAUGUUAAAUGUGUAACACACCAUUCACUACAUCCUGUAUCCGCCACUGGAUAUGAUGUUAGCUAUUAGAUAGAACGAUUAACCAACUAAUUGAGGGCUUUGAACGACAUAAAGAAAAAUUCAUGAGCUGGUCCUGUUUAUAAGAAAAUUAAGAAUUUCAAAAAAAGAAACAAUUCUCAAAAGUUGAUUUGAGAGUACCAACUAGGCAACUACCAAUUGCCCUGGAAUCUUGAAAUUAAUAUUGCACUUAACGCGAUCCUCUUGAUAAUCUCGAUGUCCUUAGAACUGUAGCAUGUAUAAUAAAACAAACACUACAAUUUUAUUACACAAACUCAAAGCCGCAACUUUCUAUAUUUCUAUUACAACACAAGGCUACGGCCUUUCUUUCAAACUAGAGCUUCAGCUCUUACAAAUUUUUCUCUGUUGUUGUGUUUCUGUUUCACUCCAUGUAUUCUUAACAUUCAUGCACACCAGCAUAUAUAGUGUACCUGCUGUCGUAAUCUCUUAGGUAAACAAGCUAGACAUUCUAACAUUGCAAACUGGCAGUUAGUAGUUUGAUUAUUAAGGAUUCUAGGGGGAAGGACCCACUGAGGACACUCUGGAGACUGAAAAACGGUGGGAGCACACCUGAUCAGACACGACCCGAAACCCGACCCAACCCGAAACCCGAUUUACUGAGACAAAAACCCGAAAGUGACCCGAAAAUCACCCGAUUGACCCGAAAUGGACCCGAAAUGACCCGAAAUUAAAAUUUCAUUUCUAAUAACUUCAAUUUUCAAUUUUAUUCAAUUUUAAGCGAUUUUAGCUUGACCCGAAAUCGACCCAAUUGCUGACACGAACACGACCUGUUACCCGAAAUUGCCACCUAUUGUCACGUAAACAUUUAAAUUACGAUAAUUACAGUAAUGAAGGAGUCUAUAAAAUAAAAGGGUCAUUUUUAUUAUAUAUAUAAAAGCUUCAUAAAAAGCUUAUGAGGAACAUACAUCAUUCAAACAGCUUAAAGAAGAAAUAUGUUUUCUUCAUCAGUUUUACCACCACCACAGUUGUCAAAUAUCGGGUCAACUCUCUGGGGACAAGACGCAAACUCAUACACCAUGAGGUAUUUAGGGCUGGGUUUUUUCUUGAUGCAAAUGAUGGCAUCUCUCAAGUAAAAAAAGUCUCAUCCUGCUGGCAGCCAAGAUACAUAUUGAAGCCAUCUCCAAUUUUGCUUCGAAUCGCUUUCUCGAUUGCACUUCUGGAGUAUUUCACAGUCGUUGAUAUCUUGAUACCAUUUGUGUCCAAUAACUUUGUUAUGUUGUUGAGACUGACUCUGUCCACAAAGUUGAGAUAAUCAGAAGGCGUCCAGUCUUCAAAGCACACCCCAUGUGUGUUGUACUUGUGACGCCAUAAAUUCACAGCUGGUACUCCUUGUACUAUGGGAGGCCAUGAUAUGGUUAGCCUUGCUUUAAAUCGCUCCAACUGCAUGCAUGCGUGGAACUAUGUUAUUAAUAAAUUUUUAUAUAGUAUAGUAGAGCAUAUAUUCAUAUUAGUAAUAGAGAUCAGAGAUUCAUUACCAGGGCAUCGGGGAUUCGGGGUUUCGGCUUGCCAUCUUUACCAUAGCAAUAGUCCUCCGUCAUCCCACUGGCAUUUCCAGCCCAAAUGCCGGGCAUGAAGAAUCUAUCAGGUAAGUUUGGUAUACACUUGUUGACAUACUUGCAGUAAGUGGGAGCCCAGGUAAUGGAGUACUGGUAAUGCGUAACUGCGUUGUAGGUGCCUAUUCGUGGCGGCUGGCGCUAGGCAUUAGACCCGACAAUUUUUCAUACGACAUGAAAACAUGACACGAAAACGACACAGAAAUUUAGUAUUUGCGUUUGCAUUUUGAGUACACGACAUAAAAAUACACAAAUAUGAAGUAUUUGACUGAGAUGCAAUGUCGGUUUUGUGAUUACCUUGUGGAUACAAGACACCAAGUACACGAAAUAAAUAUAAUUUUAUAAUUAAAUAUGUAUACUUAAUUAUAAAUGCAUAUUUAUAAUAACUACAUGUAUAUUUUCUUUUAACAUAACGCAUAAUUUAUAAUAUUGAAAGUAUAAAUAAUUUAAAUGUAUAUAUUUCAUAUAAUUUUGUAAUUUUUUUACCUAGAAGUCUACUCCCUCCGUCUCAUUUUAACUGUUUUUGAUUUUUUUACACUAAUUUUAAGAUGUUAAAAAAAUCACAUCUAAACAUAAUUAUUUUUUAUAAAAUUUAUAUCAAAUAAAAGUUAAUAUAAACUUUUUUUUAUAUAAGAAUUGAAUUUUUUUUAUCGAAUGUAGAUAUUGUUCUUUUACACCUCAAUAUACGUGCCAAAGAGUCAAAUAUCGGUUAAAAUGAGACAGAGGGAGUUAUAUUUACUUUAAUUUAUAUAUUUAAUUAUAUUUAUAUUCAAUUUUAUACGAAACACGCACGAGAACGGCACGAAACACGCACAAACGACAAGAAAGUACACAAACCCCCUAAAUGGGGGUCAGUUUGUGUUUUGUCUUUGAGUACACGACACGAAAAACUACAUGAUACAAAAAUAUACGAUACGAAAGAAUCUACAUGUCUACUGAGCACUAGAAAGGAUUUUAUUGCAAGCUACAACCACUAGAAACAAUACAAAAAUCUGUGUUUUCAUUUUAGAUAUAUUGUAAUAGGAAAACAGAGAGUAUGUACCCCCAACAGCAAGUGUAAACCACGCAAUGUUAACUAGGUUCAUGUUCAAGGGAGAGCCAUUAGAGAGAGAACCCAUAGAAUUCGUACCUUAUUUCUAGUACUAGUCAGGGUUCUGCAGCAGAACUUCACGUGCAAAAUAUGUCAAUACCUAUGUAUUGUAUUUCAAAAUCAUUUUUGAACACACACAAUGAUGAAAAAACAUGAAAAAAAACAUGUAUUUAGAUUUAGAUCUUAAAAAUCUAUUUAAAAUUUAGGAUUUUGCAUCAGAACCUUGGUGGUUCUCUAAUUCUAUUUCAAGGACUGGUUCUCUCUUGAGUGCGACCCAUGUUAACUAAUUUAUGUAUAAAUAUAACUGAACCCGUUUUUACUUAAUUACACCCCCAAAAAGAUGUCUAUUUAUUAAAGAAAGUUUAUUACAAUAUUCUUACUAUAAUUAUUUAUCAACUUUUAAUUUUUAGUAAAUUAUAAUUAAUUUUUAGCUUAUGAUUGCUUUUAGUUAAAUCUUAAAACAGAAGUUGGCCAAGUUACAUCACUACACAUUUUAACUUACAUAUCGCUCAUUUUUUAGUUUGCCCAGCGCCAUGCAAGUAGAAUGUAUUUUUUUUGCAAGUAAAAUAUGUAAGCGUUAUGUAAGUAGUUUUCCAAGUGCAACACAACACUUAUAUAACACUUCAAUAAACACUAUAUAAGUUGAAUGUAUAUGAGAAUAUUACUUCAAUAGCAUUUUAGAAGUGCUAUUAAAGCUAUUUUAGAAAAGCGUAAAGUGAUGCAUUACUAAAAUUUAUAAUUUUAUAAAUUUUCUAAAUUUUAUUUUUAUUCGAAUUAUUCUUCAUAUUUUGAUAAAUAUAAUAAAAACAAACAAAAUGCACAAUUUAGUUUUAUUAGAUAGAACGAUUAACCAACUAAUCGAGGGUCAAUGAAACUUGGAACGACAUAAAGAAAAAUUCAUGAGCUGGUCCUGUUUAUAAGAAAAUUAAGAAACAAUUCUCAAAAGUUGAUUUGAGAGUACCAACUAGGCAACUACCAAUUGCACUGGAAUCUUGAAAUCAUGCACUUAACGCGAUCCUUUAUCUCUUCAUCAAAACAUUGGCGUACAGACUUGUCAGAAAGCAACUCUCAUCAGAAUAGUUUGCUCACAAGUCUACAGCAACGUGGAUCCGUUGUCACGAAGAUAGGAACCAAAUUUCUUUUCCGCAAAAUCAAAUCAGUGCUUGACGGUAUUUUCUAAUUGAUGAAUUAUAUAUUUGUUCAUUUGCCUGUAGCCAUUUAAGAUUCUAUAACUGUCUAUUUGUUUUAAAAAGACUUGCCAUAAUACCUAAUUAACUACCAAUGUGUGUGUCGACCAACAUAUAUAUUCAAUAGCUAACCUAACUUGACUAAAUAGACUUGAGAUUGUAGCAUUUCGUGUCCAGUCAAUCUGGAGACGUUGUUAGUUGGUAAUGGGAAUCAAUCUGAGAAUGAUAUGUACUAGGAUAAUUGCGGAUUUUCUUUUUUAGUUUGGUCAACAUUGCCAGGCUUAGUGCUGAAACGUAGAGGCCAAAACGUAUCAUGUCAAGUCAUAACCAAAUUCUUUUUAGAGAUAUGUAAUUUACAGGUUGGUUGUAGUCCGAAUAUUAAUUUGGUCAAGUUUAUCGUGGUAAAAAAAAGAACGGAUCACAAAGAAGUGUGUAAUUUCAUGAUACAAGCAUAUUAUUAAGUAUUAACCAUGUGUGAUUUGUGAGGAUAAAUAAGGUCAUUGGCCACCAUAAAAGAAAUCGGUGGUAUCAUUUAAUAUUUAGAAAAAUACCUGAACAAAUUUUAGGCAACUGAUAUUUAACGGGAAUGUGUAAUUUUUAAUUAUACUAAACCUCAUGCAUACACCAAUAUAAGUUUAUUUAAUUUAAAAUAUAAGUUUGGUGUACACUCACCCACAUACUUGCAGUAAGUGGGAGCCCAAGUAAUGGAGUACUGGUAAUGUGCGACUGCCUUAUAGUUGCCUAUUCGUGGCGGCUGGUGCUCGUGCGACUGCCUUGUAGUUGCCUAUUCGUGGCGGCUGGGGCUGAGCACCAGAAAGGAUAUUGCAAGCUGCUACAACAACCAGAAACAAUAGAAAAAUAUGUGGUUUUAUCAUUUUAGUUAUAUUUUAGUAGUAAAAUAGAGAGAAUGUAGCUAGUGAAGAUGAUUAAUGAUUCAUGCACGCAGAAACCGAAUUUAUACUAGUUAACAUCAACAAGCUAGUGUUAAACCAUGCACGUAUGAUAACAAAUUUAUGUAUGAAUUUAACUCAACACGUUUUUACUAUAAUUAUUUAUUAAGAAAGUUUGUUACAAUAUUUUUACUAUAAUUAUUUAUUAACUUUUAAUUUUUAGUUUAUAUAAUUGCUUUUACUUAUAUCUCUUGAAACACAAAUUGGCCAAGUUAAUUCGUUUGUUAAAACCUUAGAUGUUGACUUGCACAUUACAAGAUUGUUUAGUUUAUUAAUGAAAGUUGUUACAACAUUCUUACUAUGAUUUUCUAUUAACCUUUAAUUUUUGGAAAAUUUAUUUUUUUUUGCUUAUAAUUGCUUUUUUUUUGUCAGGUUGCUUAUAAUUGCUUUUAGUUAAAUGUUGAAACAUAACUUGCCCUAAUUAAUACGUCUGUUAAAACCUUAUACGUGCACUCCAAUAUUAACCCAUUAAAGAAACUAGUUGAGAAGGCGCGCGCUGCGGCGGCCUAUAAAAAUUAUAUUAAUGAUUCAAUAUUAAAAUUUGAAGAAAUUUUGUGGCUGUCUAUAAAAAAUAUAUUAAUAAUUAAAAAUUAAUAUUUGUAGGAUAAAAUAAAUAUUAUAUUAUAAAAAUCUUGAUGUAAUACCAAUACUAAUAUAUAAAAUUGCAAAAUUGGACUAUAAUUCAUGGUGAAAAAUUGAAAAUAAAUUUCUACACGUAAUUAACAUUUUAAAACACGACGAAUCUUAAUUUUAUUUAUGUGUUUUUUUAAAGUAAUAAUGUUCUUACAUUGUCACCUUCCUCCAAUUUUUUUUGGAUUGGUUGUGCACAAAAACAUCUAACUUAAAUUCGUGAUAUAGCGGUCUAUAAUUACCCUUGCUUGUAACAAGCUUUAUUUUUUUAAUACUGUAUAAACAGUCUUCACUUAAAAGUUCCUUGAACGGAGCAAACAGAUAAUACAUGAAUAAUUUUUUCAUGUAUACAAAGUAAAUCAUAUGAAAAUUAAAAACAAAUAUGUCCGAUGAACAUAACAAAUAUUAUAAAAGAAUAACCAACAAACAUACAUUACUAAUAGUUAAUUUAUUGAUAUCAUCCAUCAAUAUCAAGCAAACAGAUAAUACAUGAAUAAUUUUUUCAUGUAUACAAAGUAAAUCAUAUGAAAAUUAAAAACAAAUAUGUCCGAUGAACAUAACAAAUAUUAUAAAAGAAUAACCAACAAACAUACAUUACUAAUAGUUAAUUUAUUGAUAUCAUCCAUCAAUAUCAUGUCAAGACUAUAUUCUUAUCCCGUGUUUGGAUUUGUCGACUCCCAUAGCGGUCUAUAACUACCUUUGAUUGCAAUAACCUUUAUUUUUUUUAAUAUCGUAUAAACAUCCUUCACUUAUCGUUGUAGAAUAACGGCAACACCGAGUUAAAAUCGAGCAAAAGAACUAUCACUGGAGAGAGGUAGGGUUGUGGUAUUGAGAGAGAGUAGGUUGUGUUUAGAUGAUCCAAAACCUUACAACCUAUAGGGGUAUUUAUAGGUGUAGAGAGACUUGUGUGCUACUCUUUACCAUAAUUAAAUAAUCUGAAACAGAAUCAGAUUCUUAAACUUACUUCUAAUAUAUUCGAAACUAAAAAAAAAGGUAGUUCUAAUUUUUGAUAUUUUUCAUCCGAAAAUUCCAGAAAAUUAGAAAAAUAAAACAGAGCGGUGUGAGAGGUGCCACAUACACGCCCCUCGCUUCUCCUUUAUAUAGAAACAAAAUCAGAUUAAAACUUUCAAACUACUAUAUUCCAUAGAUAAUCUGAAACAAAAUCAAAUUCUGAAACCUGCUUCUAACAUAUCCGAAAGUAAUUCUAAUUUUUGAUAAUUUUCAUCCGCUUCUCCUUUAUACAAAUAUAUUGAUUUUGUAUCUUGAAGCAAUUAAGUUCUUGUUAUUAAUUUAUUAUAGGCUUUAAUAAUAGGUUAUAUAACUAGCGGAAAGUUAGCGGUAAGCAAAUUGCAUUUUCUUUAUUAUCAUAUUUUACCAGUCUUGUAUCUUGUAAGAGACGCAACUCUUGAAAUCCGUCUGACAUAUGAGGCAAAAAAUUGUGUAUGCAGUGUCGAGCAACCUAAUAGCUUUGCU
rnacentral:lncRNA from 1 species